AGCUCCAAUAGCGUAUAUUAAAGUUGUUGCGGUUAAAAAGCUCGUAGUUGGAUUUCUGUGGUAGACAGUCGGUCCACACUAUGUGUGAGUAUCUGAUUUGGCUACUGCAUCCUCCUAAAGAACGUGGUGCGCUUCGCUGCGUGGCGCGGUAUUUAGGACUUUUACUUUGAGGAAAUUAGAGUGUUCACGGCAGGCGCUUGCCCUGAAUAUAUUAGCAUGGAAUAAUGAUAUAGGAUCUUGGUCCUAUUUUGUUGGUUUCUAGGACCAGGAUAAUGAUUAAUAGGGAUAGUUGGGGGCAUUCGUAUUAUGACGUCAGAGGUGGAAUUCUUGGAUUGUCAUACGACGAACUACUGCGAAAGCAUUUGCCAAGGAUGUUUUCA
rnacentral:rRNA from 1 species